GCCGGUGUAGCUCAGCUGGCUAGAGCAGCUGAUUUGUAAUCAGCAGGUCGUGGGUUCGAGUCCCUCCAUCGGCUCAA
rnacentral:tRNA from 30 species